rnacentral:lncRNA from 1 species
AUGGAGCUAUUCCAUACAGCUUUAGAGUAGCUGUUUGGGAGGUCCGGAGUUUGCUCACACUCAUUUUUAUUUGCAACCAAGUUUGAAAUUGGAGAUAGCAGUUUGACUUGAAAGUAGCUUUCUGCAUCCUGCACACGUGGUGGUCAGUCACAUUCUUAAGUCUGGGCAAAAGUAAGACUGCAAUUACAAGUCAACUGCAUUGGAAAUAAGAGUCUGCUCAGCACUGGAAUACAUUUGUACAUUUUAAUUUCAGAUACUAUCUCAUUUGAAAUACUUUUGGGCACACUGGAAUUCAGGGAAUAAUGAAGAGUCUGGCUACUACAGCAGGAGGCAUUAAAACAAGCCCAGAUCGACCGGAGGAGCCAGCUGAUGCAUCCUGAGAACAGCAGACUGGUCCAGGCACGUGGCAGAAAGCAACCACCAAGGUACCGGAGAAGGCGGCUCCAAGCCUAGUAUUUCUUCCUGCCAUCCUCAAAUGGAAUAAAAGAGACUGGGAAUAGAAAAUAAAUAAAUAA